rnacentral:rRNA from 1 species
GACGAAGGGGGCUAGCGUUGUUCGGAAUUACUGGGCGUAAAGCGCGUGUAGGCGGUUGUUCAAGUCAGGUGUGAAAGCCUUGAGCUCAACUCAAGAAAUGCACUUGAUACUGGAUGACUAGAGGACCGGAGAGGAUAGUGGAAUUCCCAGUGUAGUGGUGAAAUACGUAGAGAUUGGGAAGAACACCAGUGGCGAAGGCGGCUAUCUGGACGGUUUCUGACGCUAAGACGCGAAAGCGUGGGGAGCAAACAGGG